AUAUAGGAGGUCCAGCCUGCCCAGUGACAAAGUUCAACGGCCACGGUAUCCUAACCGUGCGAAGGUAGCAUAAUCACUUGUUCUUUAAAUGAGGACUUGUAUCAACGGCAUCACGAGAGUUAUACUGUCUCCUUUUUCCGAUCAGUAAAACUAAUCUCCCCAUGAAGAAGCGGGGAUACUAGUAUAAGACGAGAAGACCCCAUGGAACUUAAAACCCAACUGCACCCCUAAUAUUUAUAGCCUUACAACUAAUAGGACUCUGUAUAGUUGGUUUUAGGUUGGGGCGACCACGGAGUACAACAAAACCUCCACAAUGAACGGGACCACCCCCCUUAUCUAAGAGAUACCCCUCUAAGAAUUAAAAUAUUAACAUAAAAUGAUCCACUUUUGAUCAAUGAACCAAGCUACCCUGGGGAUAACAGCGCAAUCUAUUUCAAGAGCCCCUAUCGACAAAUGGGUUUACGACCUCGAUGUUGGAUCAGGGUGUCCUAG
rnacentral:rRNA from 1 species